rnacentral:lncRNA from 1 species
GUGGGUGGAUGGGUUAUUCCUAGGAUUUGGUACUGGUUGGCUUGGUAAUUGAUCUGAUUCUCUCCUCAUGGUAGACUCAGCUAAUUAUCCUAUUUGUGCUUCUAACCUAGCGAUAGAUUACUGUUGGAACAUAAUCAAUUGUUAGAGUUGGUUGAAUCUAUCGUCAGCUAGAUUGGUCUGUUGAGGUGGUGGGUAUGAUGGCUGAUUAUAAUAUGGUGGCUGAGUAGGCUGACCUUUGUUAUAGGCAAAAUUUUGCUAUUGAAAUUUAUUCUGAAAGUUUUGCAC